UACGGAGGCCCCGAGCGUUGUUCGGAAUCACUGGGCGUAAAGGGUGCGUAGGCGGGUCUUUAAGUCAGGGGUGAAAUCCUGGAGCUCAACUCCAGAACUGCCCUUGAUACUGAGGAUCUUGAGUCCGGGAGAGGUGAGUGGAACUGCGAGUGUAGAGGUGAAAUUCGUAGAUAUUCGCAAGAACACCAGUGGCGAAGGCGGCUCACUGGCCCGGUACUGACGCUGAGGCACGAAAGCGUGGGGAGCAAACAGG
rnacentral:rRNA from 1 species